UUAGUAUGGCAGAUUAAUGCAACUGACUUAAGAUCAGUAUAAAACCACCAGGUUUACUAACA
rnacentral:tRNA from 1 species